rnacentral:rRNA from 1 species
CUUGAGAGUUUGAUCCUGGCUCAGAACGAACGUUGGCGGCAUGGAUUAGGCAUGCAAGUCGCGGGAAUGCCCCGCGAGGGGUGGAACCGGCGUAAGGGGCAGUAAGGCGUGGGUACCUGCCGCGGGGUCCGGGAUAGCCCUUCGAGAGAAGGGGUAAUACCGGAUGACCUCGGGAGAGCAAAGGUCCGCCGCCCUGCGAGGGGCCCACGUGGUAUUAGGUAGUUGGCGGGGUGACGGCCCACCAAGCCCGGGAUGCCUAGCGGGUGUGAGAGCACGACCCGUGCCACUGGCACUGAGACACUGGCCAGACACCUACGGGUGGCUGCAGUCGAGGAUCUUCGGCAAUGGGGGCAACCCUGACCGAGCGAUGCCGCGUGUGCGACGAAGGCCUUCGGGUUGUAAAGCACUGUCGAGGGGGAGAAAAGCGC